rnacentral:rRNA from 1 species
AGAGUUUGAUUCUGGCUCAGGAUGAACGCUAGCUACAGGCUUAACACAUGCAAGUCGAGGGGCAGCAUGGUCUUAGCUUGCUAUGGCCGAUGGCGACCGGCGCACGGGUGAGUAACACGUAUCCAACCUGCCGUCUACCCUUGGACAGCCUUCUGAAAGGAAGAUUAAUACAAGAUGGCAUCAUGAGUCCGCAUGUUCACAUGAUUAAAGGUAUUCCGGUAGACGAUGGGGAUGCGUUCCAUUAGAUAGUAGGCGGGGUAACGGCCCACCUAGUCUUCGAUGGAUAGGGGUUCUGAGAGGAAGGUCCCCCACAUUGGAACUGAGACACGGUCCAAACUCCUACGGGAGGCAGCAGUGAGGAAUAUUGGUCAAUGGGCGAGAGCCUGAACCAGCCAAGUAGCGUGAAGGAUGACUGCCCUAUGGGUUGUAAACUUCUUUUAUAAAGGAAUAAAGUCGGGUAUGGAUACCCGUUUGCAUGUACUCUAUGAAUAAGGAUCGGCUAACUCCGUGCCAGCAGCCGCGGUAAUACGGAGGAUCCGAGCGUUAUCCGGAUUUAUUGGGUUUAAAGGGAGCGUAGAUGGAUGUUUAAGUCAGUUGUGAAAGUUUGCGGCUCAACCGUAAAAUUGCAGUUGAUACUGGAUAUCUUGAGUGCAGUUGAGGCAGGCGGAAUUCGUGGUGUAGCGGUGAAAUGCUUAGAUAUCACGAAGAACUCCGAUUGCGAAGGCAGCCUGCUAAGCUGCAACUGACAUUGAGGCUCGAAAGUGUGGGUAUCAAACAGGAUUAGAUACCCUGGUAGUCCACACGGUAAACGAU